AUUAAACAGCCAAUAGCUUAGAAUGAAUAAAAAUCCUAAACGUUUUCGGGUUGGCGUGGAACGCAGGCUUGGGGUAAAGUGGAACGCACGCGAAGAUCUGUUACAUCAAUCUCGGCUCGUCACCUCCUCUCAGCCGAGGGAGGUCCCUGUGUCCUGCAGCUCCCUGUCUCUCCAGAUAUGCCAGUUUUUUUUCAUAUUAUUGUGAGUGUUUUUAAUCUCAUUUAAAAUAAAUUCAGUGUUUUUAUAGAGAGCAUUAUGGCUUCUUCAUUUAUCUUUCAGAGCAAAGUGAAGAUCUUGCCACUUUAGAUCUGUCACUGUGAUCUGAAAGUGAUUAAUCAUCUCUUUGGACUGCAUUGCAUCUCAGCUUAAGGUUUAUUCCUUCCAGAGAACGGAU